rnacentral:rRNA from 1 species
GGGGGGGGGGGGGGGGGGGGGGGGGGGGGGGGGGGGGGGGGGGGGGGGGGGGGGGUUGCUGCUCUGAUGUUGGCGGCGGACGGGUGAGUAACGCGUGGAUAACCUCCCUAUAAGACUGGGAUAACUUCGGGAAACCGGGGCUAAUACCGGAUAAUAUUUUGAACCGCAUGGUUCAAAAGUGAACGACGGUCUUGCUGUCACUUAUAGAUGGAUCCGCGCUGCAUUAGCUAGUUGGUAAGGUAACGGCUUACCAAGGCAACGAUGCAUAGCCGACCUGAGAGGGUGAUCGGCCACACUGGAACUGAGACACGGUCCAGACUCCUACGGGAGGCAGCAGUAGGGAAUCUUCCGCAAUGGGCGAAAGCCUGACGGAGCAACGCCGCGUGAGUGAUGAAGGUCUUCGGAUCGUAAAACUCUGUUAUUAGGGAAGAACAUAUGUGUAAGUAACUGUGCACAUCUUGACGGUACCUAAUCAGAAAGCCACGGCUAACUACGUG